rnacentral:tRNA from 1 species
UAGCCUAGUGGUAAGGCUUUGGAUUGCUAAUCCGGAGACGGCGGGUUCGAUUCCCGU